rnacentral:rRNA from 1 species
AACGAACGCUGGCGGCAGGCCUAACACAUGCAAGUCGAACGCUCCAGCAAUGGAGAGUGGCAGACGGGUGAGUAACGCGUGGGAACCUACCCUUUGGUUCGGAAUAGCUCAGGGAAACUUGAGGUAAUACCGGAUAAGCCCUUCGGGGGAAAGAUUUAUCGCCAAUGGAUGGGCCCGCGUCGGAUUAGCUAGUUGGUAGGGUAACGGCCUACCAAGGCGACGAUCCGUAGCUGGUCUGAGAGGAUGAUCAGCCACACUGGGACUGAGACACGGCCCAGACUCCUACGGGAGGCGGCAGUGGGGAAUAUUGGACAAUGGGCGCAAGCCUGAUCCAGCCAUGCCGCGUGAGUGACGAAGGUCUUCGGAUUGUAAAGCUCUUUUGGCGGGGAAGAUAAUGACGGUACCCGCAGAAUAAGCCCCGGCUAACUUCGUGCCAGCCGCCGCAGUAACAC